GACGAACGCUGGCGGCGUGCCUAAUACAUGCAAGUAGAACGCUGAAGGAGGAGCUUGCUUCUCUGGAUGAGUUGCGAACGGGUGAGUAACGCGUAGGUAACCUGCCUGGUAGCGGGGGAUAACUAUUGGAAACGAUAGCUAAUACCGCAUAAGAGUAGAUGUUGCAUGACAUUUGCUUAAAAGGUGCAAUUGCAUCACUACCAGAUGGACCUGCGUUGUAUUAGCUAGUUGGUGAGGUAACGGCUCACCAAGGCAACGAUACAUAGCCGACCUGAGAGGGUGAUCGGCCACACUGGGACUGAGACACGGCCCAGACUCCUACGGGAGGCAGCAGUAGGGAAUCUUCGGCAAUGGACGGAAGUCUGACCGAGCAACGCCGCGUGAGUGAAGAAGGUUUUCGGAUCGUAAAGCUCUGUUGUAAGAGAAGAACGAGUGUGAGAGUGGAAAGUUCACACUGUGACGGUAUCUUACCAGAAAGGGACGGCUAACUACGUGCCAGCAGCCGCGGUAAUACGUAGGUCCCGAGCGUUGUCCGGAUUUAUUGGGCGUAAAGCGAGCGCAGGCGGUUAGAUAAGUCUGAAGUUAAAGGCUGUGGCUUAACCAUAGUACGCUUUGGAAACUGUUUAACUUGAGUGCAAGAGGGGAGAGUGGAAUUCCAUGUGUAGCGGUGAAAUGCGUAGAUAUAUGGAGGAACACCGGUGGCGAAAGCGGCUCUCUGGCCUGUAACUGACGCUGAGGCUCGAAAGCGUGGGGAGCAAACAGG
rnacentral:rRNA from 1 species